rnacentral:lncRNA from 12 species
UAAAAGGGGCAGGGGAGAAGGGAGUAGUAUAAGAGUUGUUCUGCCCAGUGGCAUAUAUGCUUAGAUAACAGACAAAGGAGGAUUGAAGGUGACAUAUUCUGUGUGAUAACAACAGACCAGGCACAUUGGGGAGCAGAAGUGGAGAACAUCACACUUUGGGUUCGAGAAAGGGCUAAGGACUAGUUUGGACAAGUGGGAGGAAACAUUAGAAGGUGAUGAAAAGAUAGGCUGUUUUCCCAGCUGAGUGCAGGGAACAGCAGAGAAACAAAGACUGUUUAUCCUGGAAGCAGCUUGGGGCAGACAUUUGUGCUUACAGUGUAUUCACACCUUCGGACACAGCGAACUGGACCUUCCUUUGGACCCCAAAGGAUUUCUGAACAGUGAAAAGUCC